AUGGUGAUGAAGAGAGAAGGAGUCUGCGUGAUGAAGGUUUUUGUAGAGGUAGAAAGAGGUGAAAGAUGGAGAAGGUUGAGGAUGAAGAUGAGAAUUCUUCUGAAAUCACGGAUAUUCCAAGUACAUCAUCAACUUUACUUGGUGAAUGCAAUACUUGAAAAGGUUUGGUUAUUGGAUUCGACCGUAGCAUCUAUUCAAUGGGAGGUUGGUUUGAUUGAUGCGUUAAUCUCACACCAAAAGUGGCAUAGCAGUAGUUCCAAAUUACUUCCGACAUCAGCAACAUGUUGA